GUCGUGGGCUGGGAGGCGCCGUGUGUGUGUGUGUGUGUGUGUGUGUGUCUAUGAGUGUGCACUUCACACAGCCAGCCCACCCUCUCUCGGG
rnacentral:miRNA from 1 species